AGACGGAGGGUGCUAGCGUUGUUCGGAAUCACUGGGCGUAAAGGGCGCGUAGGCGGCCCAUGCCGUCGGCUUCGUGAAAGCCCGGGGCUCAACCCCGGAGGUGCGGCCGAAACACAUGGGCUCGAGGCCGGAAGAGGAGGGUGGAAUACCCAGUGUAGAGGUGAAAUUCGUAGAUAUUGGGUGGAACACCGGUGGCGAAAGCGGCUCUCUGGUCCGGACCUGACGCUGAGGCGCGAAAGCGUGGGGAGCAAACAGG
rnacentral:rRNA from 1 species